AUGAUAACCACCCGCGGUGGUCACAGCAAAGAUUCUGUUCUUGGAGAGGGUAAGAGCGGGAAGGCCAGGUCCUCGGGAGCCAGGAGCGGGAGCUGCAGCUCUGGCUGGAGGGCUCCUUGGGAGGUGGUGAGCACUCGGGCCUUGAGACACAGCCUGGGGCCCAUGCACCGCUUCCCAAAAGGCGCCGCCAGACCCCCGUGCUGGGCAUGGUGGUGGGAGGUUGGAAGAGGGGGAAGAAGUCUGAGGGCUAAGUGUCCCCCCACCCCAGCCCUGCCCCAGAGCCGCCUGGAAUUUCUGCUUGCAAUUGGAGGGAGCUUGGGAAGGCAGAGGACACUCCGAGGUGGGCCUGUCCCGGGCGGAGGAGGGAGCUGGCAUGCUUACAGAGCAGCAGAAGGUGGCAGGGGGAAGGAGGGGUGCCCCAGGUCCCAGAGGUGGCAGACCAGGUGGCUGCCUCCCAGGGGACCAGGGGAGCGGUGCUCGGUGAAUUCUGAAAGCAAUGGGGCGCCAUCGAUGGUCUGUGAGCUGGGGAGGCCCCUGUCAUGUCGGGAUUAUUCACAAGUGUGUGUGGGGGCAGGGCAGUAAGUGAGCGUGACCUCUGACCCUGCAGAGCCAGUGACUCCAAGCAGCAAGCAGAUUAGGGCUAGAUGGGGGAGGGGGAGGGCCUGUCAAGGUGACUGCCCCACAUGGCCGGGCGCCCAGAGAAGGGGUUAGGUCAACACCAAGAGCAACUGGAAUUGGUCCAGCUCGUCCUGGCUGUGCGUCCCUGGCAUCACCCAUCAAGCAACAACAAAGGUGGUGAUGGGAGCGCGGCCGCAGGCACAAAUCACGCACACCCAUCUUAUGCCGCUCCCUCUCCUCCCAGCGCUUUCCCUAGGUCCGUGCAUCUCAGCAAACCGCCCUGUGAAGCAGGCAGCACUGUCGUUGUCCCCAUUUGACAGAUAAAGACACAGAGGCCCAGCAGCUGGACGGCUUCUCCAGGGACGAAGCGGCCGAGCCGGGGUGUGAGCCCAGCCCCUCAGCCCCUCCACUGCAGGGCUGGGCACGGGGCACCAGGAACAGGUGCCCAUCCGGAGCAGCCCGGCCGGUCCUCUCCCCCAGGAAGCCUCGGCUGCCGCCCUCGCCUGCUGCCGGCUGAGGCUGCCGUCUUGUGAAGCCAGAACCGCAGCAAGAUUCUCCUAUUAAUUUAUUGGUAUUGCUAAUUAAACAUCAUAUUCGCAAAUGUAAAUUUCCUAAUGGCCUCCCUUCCAUUUCCGUAGUUUCCUAAAAGAGCCUUCUUGUUUCGCUGGCAGUGGAAGCCAAUUACUUCUCACUCUACGGGGGCUGCGGCUGGCGCGGGGGUCACC
rnacentral:lncRNA from 1 species